GCAUAUGUGCAGAAGGUGCAUGCGUGAGCAAAGUGCAUGCGCAGAAGGCUGGGCACAUGCGUAGAAGGUAAACAAUUCAUUUAAAUAUAAGACUGAAAACAUUACACUGAUUGAUGAAGAUGUGAGAAGUAAUCCAAAGGAACUGAACUCUUCUGUCCCACAUUAAAAAAAAGAAGAUAUUUAUUGCACAAAACAUUGGGGACAGUUCUAUCACAGCUUCAUGAGAAUUGCUGCUGCUGUUUGGCUGUAUGUUGCUUCUGGAUAAAAUGGAAUGAAAUAA